rnacentral:tRNA from 4 species
GGACGGAUGUCUGAGUGGUUUAAGGUACCAGCCUUGAAAGCUGGCGUAAUUCAUUACCGGGGGUUCGAAUCCCUCUCCGUCCG